rnacentral:rRNA from 1 species
GACGAACGCUGGCGGCGUGCCUAAUACAUGCAAGUCGAACGCAGUGGGGACGGGUGAGUAACACGUGGGUAACCUCCCAUCAGAGGGGAUAACACUUGGAAACAGGUGCUAAACCGAUACUGAUGGAUGGACCCGCGGUGCAUUAGCUAGUUGGUGAGGUAACGGCUCACCAAGGGCACGAUGCAUAGCAGAACGGAGAGGGUGAUCGGCCACACUGGGACUGAGACACGGCCCAGACUCCUACGGGAGGCAGCAGUAGGGAAUCUUCGGCAAUGGACGAAAGUCUGACCGAGCAACGCCGCGUGAGUGAAGAAGGUUUUCGGAUCGUAAAACUCUGUUGUUAGAGAGGCGUUAUCUAACCAGAAAGCAACGGCUAACUACGUGCCAGCAGCCGCGGUAAUAC